rnacentral:rRNA from 1 species
GUGCCAGCCGCCGCGGUAAUACGUAGGGGGCAAGCGUUGUCCGGAAUUACUGGGCGUAAAGCGCACGCAGGCGGCCCAUCAAGUCGGUUGUAAAAGGCAGUGGCUCAACUACUGUAAGACGGCCGAUACUGAUGAGCUAGAGUAUGUGAGAGGGAAGCGGAAUUCCCGGUGUAGCGGUAGAAUGCGUAGAUAUCGGGAGGAACACCAGUGGCGAAGGCGGCUUCCUGGCACAAGACUGACGCUCAUG